CGGCUAGCUCGGGGUAUAGAGUAUAGAGAAGAAGACUACUGCACAGCAACCGGUGUUCGUGUAUUCAUUUCGUCAGCAACAUCUGGCGCCCAACGUGGGUCUCGACCAGACUGAAAGGUCUUCCGGCGCUGGAGAAAGCGACAACAACUAAAAGGUAUCGUUAAGACCGUUGCACAUGCUGUCCGUCAAAAUGCCAACAAAAGAGGGGGAGAUGAAGGAGACCUGGCAUGAAAUGUGGUUGUUCUUGCACGCGAGGCAUCCACAAGACUGGCUGGACUUUUCUGCAAA